GAUGAACGCUGGCGGCGUGCCUAAUACAUGCAAGUCGAGCGAACGGAUGAGAAGCUUGCUUCUCUGAUGUUAGCGGCGGACGGGUGAGUAACACGUGGAUAACCUACCUAUAAGACUGGGAUAACUUCGGGAAACCGUAGCUAAUACCGGAUAAUAUUUAGAACCGCAUGGUUCAAAAGUGAAAGAUGGUUUUGCUGUCACUUAUAGAUGGACCCGCGCUGCAUUAGCUAGUUGGUAAGGUAACGGCUUACCAAGGCAACGAUACAUAGCCGACCUGAGAGGGUGAUCGGCCACACUGGAACUGAGACACGGUCCAGACUCCUACGGGAGGCAGCAGUAGGGAAUCUUCCGCAAUGGGCGAAAGCCUGACGGAGCAACGCCGCGUGAGUGAUGAAGGUCUUCGGAUCGUAAAACUCUGUUAUUAGGGAAGAACAAAUGUGUAAGUAACUGUGCACAUCUUGACGGUACCUAAUCAGAAAGCCACGGCUAACUACGUG
rnacentral:rRNA from 1 species